rnacentral:lncRNA from 1 species
CUGUCCGAGUUGUGAGGUCAGUUGGUGCAUUUAACAUUUUGAUUAAAAAGGUAGAUAACUGAAACGAUUCUUGCUAUCCCUUCUUUUGACUGGAAACUGGCUGAUUUAUUGUUGCGUUAGUCACUCUUGGGCUGGUCAAUAAAGUAUAUGUAGUUGGCUUAUUUAUCUUCCACAGUGUGAUGUUAUGUAUCAUAUAGAUGUUAAGUUUCAUGUCAGAGCAGCCAAGUUUGCAUGAGUAGCUGAUGUACUUGUGAUUGUUCUUGACAUUCCAUGCAAUUGCUGUUGUUUUUUCUAAUUUUUUAAAGUAGCAAGUAGGGUAAUUGUUAUCCGAUCUAUGUUGCAAUUUUAUUUUUUAGCUUCAGGAUGCCGGCUUUACAACAACAACAACAACUACCCAGUAUACUCCCACCAGGUGGGGUCUGGGGAGUGUAAUAUGUAGACAAGCCUUACCCCUACCCGAAAGGGCAGAGAGGCUGUUUCCAAUCGACCCCCGGCUCAUAGGGGGGAGGGUAAUAUGUACACAAGCCUUACCUCUACCCGAAAGGGCAGAGGGGCUAUUUCCAAUCGACCCCCGACUCAUAGGAUAAAAGUAAAAACAGCAGUAAAACAAAAAGAAAGACAAAAACAAAACAAUAAAGUAUUAGUAACUCCGGCAGAAAUAGCGUAAAUAGCGUAAAUAAUUAUCUAAACAUACGAAACAUAAAUACAAUCGCAUGCAAUAAUAUCAUACAGUAACUAUCAUAACUAACAGCCAUAGGGGGAACAUCAGCUAAAACACAAAUCAUCUAUGGAUAACCCUGCUGACCCACACCCAACCCCGAAUGAGGCGUACGAAAAGCUCAGGAUGCCGACUUUCUGCUAUUGAAAUGUUUUGGCCUUUGACAACAUAAUAAUAUCUAUCAGUAUCCACUAGUUGAGUGGAGUUACUAAUAGUCUAUUUGGUG